GACGAACGCUGGCGGCGUGCCUAAUACAUGCAAGUCGAGCGGACUUAAAAAGCUUGCUUUUUAAGUUAGCGGCGGACGGGUGAGUAACACGUGGGCAACCUGCCUGUAAGACUGGGAUAACUUCGGGAAACCGGAGCUAAUACCGGAUAAUCCUUUCCUACUCAUGUAGGAAAGCUGAAAGACGGUUUACGCUGUCACUUACAGAUGGGCCCGCGGCGCAUUAGCUAGUUGGCGAGGUAACGGCUCACCAAGGCGACGAUGCGUAGCCGACCUGGGAUGGUGAUCGGCCACACUGGGACUGAGACACGGCCCAGACUCCUACGGGAGGCAGCAGUAGGGAAUCUUCCGCAAUGGACGAAAGUCUGACGGAGCAACGCCGCGUGAGUGAUGAAGGUUUUCGGAUCGUAAAACUCUCUUGUUAGGGAAGAACAAGUACGAGAGUAACUGCUCGUACCUUGACGGUACCUAACCAGAAAGCCACGGCUAACUACGUGCCAGCCGCCGCAGUAA
rnacentral:rRNA from 1 species